UGAAAAACAGAGAGAAAAGAAAACCAAAAACCAUUUCUUGGCUGGCUUGAAGAGAUUCUAAGGAGAUCAAAGUGAAAUCAAAGCCAAAGAAGUGGAUUAAGCUUAGUUCUGGCCUUUUUAUGGAUAUUUAUUGGUGGUUUCCAAGUGGUUUGAGGUUUAGAAAAGCUAGGAGAUAUUGUUUUCGCCGAAAAGUUGCUCGGAUAAGCACAUCAACACCUAAGGCACCACUUGUUACACGAUAAAAUAUAUUUUGGACAGAAUGUAGAGAAAGAAAUGAGUGAAUGACAAAGGAGAACUGAAGCAUGAUCCUGACCCUGAUUUGUACAUAUGAACAUAUCGACAUUUUGUGGGUAAUUUCAGUUUAUCAGUGUGUAUGUUUGUAAUAAAGUGUGGAGUUAUGUUUUGAAAACAAAUUGAGUUAUUUAAUACUUAUGUAUAAUAUGUUUGAGACACACUUUAUGCUUAAUGUAACUAAUGUGAAAUAAGUUUUCAAAAACUGAAAGUAAUUAUGAUAUAGUUUUAAAACGUAACACCUCAGAUAUGGUUUUAACUAAAAUAAGUGAGGGUGUUACAUCAUCGUUGGUGGAGAAGAAGAGAAGGGGACCGACAUGGGUUGAAACCAGGUCUUCGAUUCGACAAAACCCCACCUUCACAGUCGCACCAAGCCUUUGUCUGUCACAACAAAGCUCUACUUUUGCAAUCGUCCAAGCCUCGUGUAAAGAAGAACAACAACAACAAAAUAGGGGUGGAGGUUAGGCUAGAUCUAGAAAGAAGAAGAGGAGGAGGAUGAGUUGCACUGGUUUAGCUUAGAUCUGAAGUUUUCAAUGUUGUUUAAAUUUUCUAUUAGGUUAGAUUUCAAGUAUUGAUGAUUUUAAUUAGAUUUAGGG